CCUACGGGGGGCAGCAGUGAGGAAUAUUGGACAAUGGACGAGAGUCUGAACCAGCCAAGUAGCGUGAAGGAUGACUGCCCUAAGGGUUGUAAACUUCUUUUCUAUGGGAAUAAAACAGGGUAUGCAUACCCUCUUGUAUGUACCAUAUGAAUAAGGAUCGGCGAACUCCGUGCCAGCAGACGCGGUAAUACGGAGGAUGCGAGCGUUAUCCGGAUUGAUUGGGUUUAAAGGGAGCGUAGGUGGAUUGUUAAGGCAGUUGUGAAAGUUUGCGGCUCAACCGGAAAGUUGCAGUUGAAACUGGCAGUCUUGAGUACAGUAGAGGUGGGCGGAAUUCUUGGUGUAGCGGUGAAAUGCUUAGAUAUCACGAAGAACUCCAGUUGCGAAGGCAGCUCACUGGACUGCAACUGACGCUGAUGCUCGAAAGUGUGGGUAUCAAACAGGAUUAGAUACCCUGGUAGUC
rnacentral:rRNA from 1 species